rnacentral:misc_RNA from 1 species
CGCAACUUGCGCCCUCUGGUAUUCCGGAGGGCAUGCCUGUUUGAGUGUCAUGUAGACUCAUCUCUUCAGAUUUUCUGACUAGAUGGAUGUGGAGGUUUUUGCCUUUGUUGGCUCCUCUUAAAAGCAUUGUGCAGACGUGAUAAGUUUCGUCGUACGCGCAUUCGCCCCGCAAGGGACAACUACUUGUACUCUGACCUCAAAUCAGGUAGGGCUACCCGCUGAACUUAA